CCUGAGUGGGUCCCUGGAGGGCGCGAUGGCAGAUUGGACUCGAGCUCAGACCUCUGGUGCUGUGGAGGAGAUUCUAGACAGAGAGAACAAGCGGAUGGCUGACAGCUUGGCCUCCAAAGUUACCAGGCUUAAAUUGCUGGCUUUGGACAUUGAUAGGGACACAGAAGACCAGAACCGGUACCUAGAUGGCAUGGAUUCAGAUUUCACAAGUGUGACUGGCCUACUCACGGGGAGUGUGAAGCGCUUUUCCACGGUGGCACGGUCUGGGCGAGACAACCGGAAGCUUCUAUGUGGUAUGGCUGUGGUCUUAAUUGUGGCCUUCUUCAUCCUCUCCUACCUCUUGUCAAGGACAAGGACGUGAG